rnacentral:rRNA from 1 species
UGCGUAGGUGGUGAGGUAAGUCGGAUGUGAAAGCUCCGAGUUCAACUCGGAAAUGGCAUUGGAAACUACCUUGCUCGAGGGUUUGAGGGGGGACGUGGAAUACUUGGUGUAGCAGUGAAAUGCGUAGAUAUCAAGUAGAACACCAGUGGCGAAGGCGAGUCCCUGGAAAACUCCUGACACUGAGGCACGAAAGCUAGGGGAGCAAACA